rnacentral:misc_RNA from 1 species
GAAAUGCGAUAAGUAAUGUGAAUUGCAGAAUUCAGUGAAUCAUCGAAUCUUUGAACGCACAUUGCGCCCGCCAGUAUUCUGGCGGGCAUGCCUGUUCGAGCGUCAUUUCAACCAUCAAGCCCCGCGCUUGUGUUGGGGACCUGCGGCUGCCGCAGGCCCUGAAAACCAGUGGCGGGCUCGCUGUCACACCGGGCGUAGUAGAUUUUAUCUCGCUCAGGGCGUGCUGCGGGUUCCGGCCGUUAAAAAGCCUUUUUUACCCAAGGUUGACCUCGGAUCAGGUAGGAAGACCCGCUGAACUGAAG